UUUGUUUAGCUAAAUAAGUGGCAUAAAUUCUAGGCCCAACUUACGUGAGGAUGGGACUAUGGUUAUAAAAUUUUAUAGGUGAUCUUUUUCUAUCCACAGCCUAAGCGGAAACAGGUCAAUGAGAGACAUCAACUCAGCCAGUAGCAGGACACCAGAUGACCUCACCCCUGUCUACUUGGAGACCAGAGAGAUUCCUCCCAAGCCUUCAGAUGCUGACAAAAGCCCUGAGGUGCUCUGCAGUGGAAGAGUAUUCAGGGUUAUCUCCUCUGCCAUGUUGCCAGAAGUGGUCCCAUCCAUCAUCUCUAGACCUCCUCUCACUACCUUCCGCCCCACGCUCCAGAGUUGCUGGCAUCCUGCCUACGGUUCUGUCUCCACUCCAAGCCUUCUCAUCAUCCUGGGCCAUGUCAGCACAGAUGUGGGCGACCCAUCCAAUAUCUCAGCCUCUCAAUCCCUCCUCACUUUUAAUGAUUAAUGAUCUUUAUUUUCACCUUCUUUCAGUCACCUACUAUGGCCUUUUCCACCACAUCAGUGACACCACCUUUACAAAUGUGAAUUCCAUCAUGUUCCUCUUGAACCAUGAUCUCUUAUAUUUCCAGUCCUCUCAUGCAGUUACUUCCUUGACAUUUCCUCCAGUCUUCCCUUUCCUUCCUGUCCUGUUUACAUACUAGAGUCCAUAAUUUACACUCAGUCCACCCACUUUGCCCAGACACAUUUCAGGGGCACCUGCCUGAACAACAACAAACUUGGAGAAAUGCAAGUCUGCCUUUUUCAUACUUUCCCCUUGAGCUUAUGCAAAAAUCCACAUAAACUAUGUACAUGGUGCCUCUUAUAUUCAAGUUCUGUGUCUAUCUAAACUGCUCCGCAAUGCUUUCAGGUCUCUAUCAUUCUGUCUGCCAUGAUACACAAUCAUCAUUGCAGGGCUUCUCCAGGAAACCGUGACUCUCUCCACAGCCCCUGACAAAAGAAUUGUCCCCCUACUUCACAGGAGAAACGGACGCCAUCAGAGAACUCCUCAGCCUUCCUGCCACCAAAUUUCUACCUUACCCCACUGUGGCAGGCAGGCAGCCUUGUAAUGGCCCUGCUUCCCGAGAUUCACACUCCUGUACAGUCACCUUCCUUUGAGUGAGGGCUGGGCCAAAUGACUCCAUUGUAACAGAGUUCAGCAGAAGUGACUGGAUACGUCACUUCUGAGGGUGAUAACAGACAGUGACCUUCACCUUGCUGGCCCUCUCUUGCUCUCUCUCGGUUUCACUCUGCCACGUUUCAAGCUGCCCUGUGCAGAGGCCGAUGGGGCAAGAAACAGGGGCAGAGCGCCAGCCAGCGAGCACCCAGGACCUGGGAUCCUCAGUCCAAUGGCUCCCCAAGGCCAAAACCCUGCCAACAGCCUGCUGAGUGAGCUUGAAAGCAGAUCCUUCGUGAAUUGAGGGUGGAGAUGCUACAGUCCCGGUACAUACCUGGACUGCAAUUUCAGAGACUGUCUGAGUCAGAGGACUCAGCUAAGAUGCCUGGAUUCCUGACCACAGAUAUAAUCACUGCAUUGUUGGAGGCAGCUACAUCUUGGGGUAAUUUGUUGUCACACAGCAACAGGUGAGGAAUACACACGCCCACUCAGCCUUCCUGCCCUUGUGGCAGUGGGAAGGCUGCAUCUCCCAGCCUGGGAACAUUCCACCACCAGGUGGAGAGGCCCUUUUCCUUCUCCUGCUCCCAGGUCCUAGUCUGUCCCCCACAGACUAGGACCUCCUCCUUCUCAUCACACGUGUCUACACGCCUCCUUUAAGAGUAGAACCUUAAAGGAGCCAGGAGCCACGCUGCUCUGGCUCAUCGUUGGGCCCUCAGUUCCCACCACCAUUCUUUGAACAUGAAAG
ensembl:lincRNA